rnacentral:tRNA from 1 species
GCCGCGGUGGCGGAACUGGCAGACGCGCACGGCUUAGGACCGUGUCCUUUGGGGUGUGGGUUCAACUCCCUCCCGCGGCA